GUGGAGGCUGACCAUGUAGUCAGUGUCAGAGGUUGACCAUCUCCUUGGUCCUCCUAAUGACCUGCGUGUGUCUGAUGUAUACCUCGAUCAUGGCUAACCAGCAUAUCAGUCGCCAUGACCUGUUGAAGAGGGACCUGAAAAGUGCUUCAGUAAGGUCUCCUAGCAGCCUGCAGUGUUCGCCAAAUGUGUUGGCUCAAAAAACUCCUGGCAGUGAAAUAGGACUAUAUUUUGAGGGAACUGAGCCAACUUCUUUCAGUGUUUUGGACCCAUUGAGAAGGUGUUGGCAGAUUCCACAGGCUAUUCCUAAUCAUUACUAUGUGAUGCUGUCAGGAGCCAAACAAGAUAUCACUCUCCAGCCAUCCCCCCCCAACCCCCUCGACAGGGAGUCACAACACAACGUUGAGGAACUGGAAUAAAAGAAUAAAGACAAAGCCACCGGGGUCCUGCAUGGCUCUCUGGGUGCAGAUAAUGGCGCCAUGCUGUGUGUCUUGAUGAAGUUCAGGACCUUAUUAAAGAGAAUUUGCUCACAUGUGUAAAUGCAGGCACACUCACAAAAAGAAAAAGCGCCUCAUGAUCCCGAGAUGAGAGCACGGAGCUUUCUAACCUUUCUCCGCACGAUUCUGCAAUCGCGCAUUUCCAAUUUUGCCAAUAUCAGCGACAACAACUUUACCGCUUAUCUUGGUUUCCUUCUGUGUCACUGAAUAUUUUAUUCAGAUCAAAUAACUCGCCUGCUCUUUGUUUUUCGGGUAACAUCAUAUAAACGCGACAACUUCUGAUGGUUAACGGUUACGGUCUGUCUUUGUCGCUUAAAUAAACCUGGUGGGGGGGUGUGACCAUUACAUUUGCCCGCACUAUGAAUCAAUGUGUUUAGUCCUCUGAGUCAUGUUAUAGCAGCAGUCUUACACAACAAAAAACAGCCUUAUACAUAAAAGGCACAAGGGAUUUGUACUUUAAUA